GAUUGGACUAAGUCACUCAGGCCUGCCCUUCUGUGCUGCCCUGGGAUUUGCAGUGCAUGAGUGGCGAUGUGGUAUAGCAGUGCUCCUGGCCACUUGAUGAGGGAGAGACGCACACCUGGGUUCCUGUCCUGACCUUGUAAACUUAGCCAGCUUGUCAGCAUCUCUUUGGUGCAGCUUCCAUUUAUGAAAUAAAGAGCAUAAUAGCAACUACCUCCUACCGCUUCGUAAGAAUUCAGUCCAAUUAUCUGGAGCUAGGCGUAUGAAUAACAGCCCGGGGAAAGACAGAACAGGUCUUCCUCACCAGUUUGACAACCCUGGGAUUUUUAUAGAUGUGCCCCGUGAUGGAUUCAAUGCUGUGUUUUGUUUCCUUUUGAUUUGUUUUUAUAAGAAUGUGAGAACUUAAAGCAGGCUCCAAAUUCUUUCAAUAAAGAAUAAUCCCCAAGGGGAAACAUUGGCAGCUGUUUUGGUGUUGGGGAAAGCCUGUCCGUGUAUUUUGAGUCAGGAGCUUCCUCUGCAGACAGUUGGCCAGAAUCCCCAGCGCCCUCCUACCUGGGGUUUGGGGAGGUCAGGUUUCCUGCUGGGCACUCAGACUUCGGGGCAAAGUCAGCUGGUGCUGGCGGAGUGGUUUUGACUGUAGAUGGGGAACAAACUGGCCUGCACAGCCACAGGAAGAGUGCACCCUCCCCUUCCCUGAGAUGGCAGAAGAUGGCAGAAGCCUAGAGACUGAGCCCCACAGACUGCGGAGGGGGUACAAAGGGCUCCUCCUACCGUUUGCAGGAGAGGGGAGGUCAGCUUGAAUGUACGCAAACCACAGAUGCACUCAGAGGCAGACUUUCCUUGCAUUGCCCAGCUGACCUCGUUCGUGUUCAAUCUCAGUUCCUGCCCUUGUCCAGGGAUGGGAAAACCAAAUCCUGUUCUUCGCACCGGAUUCCUGCGGUGCCCCCAUUUCUGUCCUGCUUUGCCUCCACUGGACCUCCUCUGGAUCGCUGGAGCAGUCCCCCAGCCCAUGACACCGAAACAGGGCUCACCCCUUCUGAUCCUGCUGCCACCGUGCUGUCGGAUUUCCAGGGCUCAGAAUCCUCCUGGGCUCCUGUGUGCACCAGAGUCACCUGCAGAGUUUGCUAAGGCAGAGAUUUCCAGCCACGGCCCCCGCGUUCUUCAUUCAGUCGCCGCUGUGGGAGGCUGAGAAUCCACAGCUCUGACAGUGUCUCACGUGAAGUUGAUACUGUUCAUCCAAGGACACUUUGAAAGCCUGGAGAAUGAAGCCUAUGCUUUUAGCAGUACAAGGCGAUCUGAGGCCUGACCCUGCCUGGGUCUUCCUUUCUCUCUUACCGUUGACAUUUUAAACACCCGCAGAAUGUGCUACUGUGUGUGCCAGCCGACGACGUGCUGCUUCCGUUGGCAAUUCUAUCGCGUUCUUCCUGCUGGUAAUUUGCUUCUCCACUUUAUCUGCCUUCAAAUCCUCACUCAAGUAUCCCUGCCUCAAUGAUGUCUUCAAUUGCCCCGGCCCCCGUCAGGUGCCUUAACCAGAGUUCUAUUAUUUUUCUGUUUUUAUAUAUCCUUCUAUUCCAUCCUAACCAGAUUAUGGGACCCUUAAGGACUAGAAUUAUCCCCUUUUCCUUGGCUUCCCCCAGUUCCAAAGAGAUAUUAAAUCAAUGUUUGUAUGUCUGUGCUUAACCAGGAAAACUGGUCAGAGAAGAAAUCUACUCAGUAAGUCUGCACUAUUUUUUUUUCAGCGCUUGGAAAUCCUCAGUUGUCUCUGUUUGCAGGAGAACUCCUGUUUGGAAUAUCCAAACUUGGAGGACAAGGAAAUGUACAGCAGAGGCCAUCUGUGUCUAGGAAUUUUCUUGGAUAAUCUAGCCAUCAAUGAAGAAUAAAAAGUGGUGGCUGGCAUUGUGGUGCA
rnacentral:lncRNA from 1 species